AUGACCUUUAACUGUUGUAUAGUAAUGCUUGAAAACAAAUAAUUUCAACGUUUUAUUCGUUUUAUCUUAUAUCUUCACAGAUCUCCAUAUGAACAACUCGAUACGAAUGAAAUUACCAAAGCAUCUGUGUACUCUGAAAUAGGAAGUCAUCUUCCAGGUCGCCGGAAAGAUCCAGUCAAUGACAACAGAGAAUACGAGUCAUUGGAGGGUCGGUCUAACCCAAACGUCUAUGAAGAUCUCCAUGGUACAACAUCUGGUGACAAAGAAAUAUACAUCAACACCGCAAUUGCUGAGGGAGGUUCUGGCUCCAGAAGUUAAUCCAUCUGGUUCACAAGAAAUCGUUAUAAUGAACAACUCGAGGACGCUUCAAUUAAUACGUCAGCUUUUCAAAAUAUUUCUAUUGGACUUAGCCUAUCGAACGUAGAUUGGAACCGUGAUGAAUAAUAAUCAAUAUACAUAUUAGUCCCAGAGCUUUGUGGUUGUUGACAAUGACCAUGUCAGCAGCCCUCACCUCUGCGAUUGUGACAGCCGCGGUAACAAAUAAUGAGCAUGCAACUAGUAUAAGUUUAUGUGCAUACAACCGUUACAUAAUGGUAGAAAUAUUGCGUUUUCUAACGUACUGGGCAAUUCACGAGCUAUUUACGAAAAACACAGGGAGAUAUUUACACGUCUGUUGACUUAAAUACAGCGUUUGUUACUUGGUAGGUAUAUAUUGUGUUCCGCUCCAAACUGUUAAUGGUACAAAAUUAGUUUGUGUUUUCAGCAUUAUAGACUGAGAGGUAGGUCGUCGAGGGAGAUGUAAACCUAUCAUGUCUUUAUAUGUAUAUCUACAAUAACAAGUGAAUUGUCCUAACCACAUGACAACACUGCUAGGAUAUUCGCCUAUUAAUGGAUUCAUCAGUCGCCUGAUGACAGCCAGUCAAGCAGGCGGAAACGCUAGCAAGAAUGUUUAUAGUUUAUAUAUUUCCAUUGUACAGAUCACACAGACACUAUGUUAUGCAUUUCUCUGUAUGUAUUUACCCUUAAUAGUGUGAUUUUUCCAUUGACACGUGACGAAGACGCGGUCAAAUGGAUACUGGCGCAUGAGGCUAGAAUUUGUGUCAUGAGGUGUUUUUUAUUAAGUUGCGAGAUUGUUUUUGAAAUCCUGUUGGUGUAGAAACAUGUAAAGUAAAAGUCUAGUAAAAGAUAUGUGUGCAUUCACGUCAUUCCGUUUCAAUUAGCACGGGCCAAAUUGAAAAUGCAUAUGAUGUCAUAUUCCCUAGGAACAUUCGUCAAACAAAAUAAAAAGGUGUAUAUACGGUAUUUUGCAUGUGAAAAUGAACUUGCGUUAAUACAAAUGUAAAUGUAUGUUAUGCAAUAUCCGAAGUAACGCCACAAAACUUAACAUUUUAAUUAUUUGUUAAAUGUGUAUGUAUACAUCUAUAUAACUCUAGUAUUAUAGAAGAUGUGGUGUUUGCUGAAUUAUUGUAUAGAUUUAAUAAGUUGCUAAUUGAUUGAAAUUCUAUUGAAAUAGUAUUGUUGUACCAGUUUUGACAAUUAUGUAAUGCAAUUUAUCAAUUGUUAGCUUGUUUUCAUUUUAUUCUUUUUGUUUUAUUACCAGACAAAUGUUUGUGUCAAAAGACCCACUUAUAACUAUUCAUAAAAUAGCCUUGGUCUUGUCUUGUGCUACCCUUCAAGUAUCUAUAAAUCAAAUAAAUCAUGCAUGGAUAUGCUUAAACUGGCUAAUAGUUACGUUAUAUUUAUGUGAUGCUUAAAAGAUCCACCCAACCCGUUGUGCGCCAACCUUAUUUCACUUAUUGAUAUACCAUGGUGUUUGAUAAUGUUUUUUAAUUAUUAACUAAUUUUGAAUCAUGUGAUCUUGAAUGUCCUUUAAUGUCGUUCAGUUUUAUAUACUUCGCACCCAUUUACGCCACCAUAGUACUGUACUGACCAGAUUCAAUUAACGUUGGACAUAUGGUUAUUCAGGAGAAGAGGUUCGACAAAAUAACAUAUUUAGGCUAAAUUAAUUUGAAUUAACUUGGUAAUCCUUCAUCCGAGCAUGCUUAUAGCUAAAUAUCAUCACUGUAGGCCUUGGCAUUCAGAGUACGUUCGUAGAAAUCGUUAAAAAAAUCAGCGUAUGUGAUCGUGAAAAUGGAUGAAAGUCAAUCAUUUAAACGAAUUUCGAAUCCUUCAUCAAAACACGCUACUGGUUAAAUAUAUGGCCAUAUAAUUCUUAAAAAAAGAAAAUCUUGGUUUGUUAUGACUAAUUUUGAGUCACUGUAGGUAACUGUCAAGAUUUGAAGCUUACUUUUUUAGUUAAUGUUGAAAAAAAUGAAUAUAUAACACUUCUCACUUGAACACAAAUCUUAACACUGACUCAUGAUAGGAUACGUGUAUGCGUGAUUUGAUCACGUGCACAAAUACCUAGAAAGAUUUUAACCUUCUAUUAAAUGACCUAGAUUGGAAUAUCUUGGCUGAAAUAUUAUCCAGUGGUUCUACAUAUUAAGUCAAAGAAGCUGUGGAUAUAUUAAGUUCAAAAGGUUCGGUUGUUUUAAUAUAAAAUGUACAUAGAUAUGCUGUAGAUUUGCUGAGAUUAUGUUUAAAAUCUCGUGCUUUGGUUAAUCUAGUUAUAUCAGAGCAGUCCAUGUAUUUUCUCUCUCUGUGAAGAUAUGUAUUAGUGUGUUCAUAAAUGAAUACCUAAAAAUAAUAGAUAUAGUAAUGGAAUUAUUUUUAUAUUACAGUAUUGUCAUUCCUAUUGUUUUUAUUGGUGUUUGGGGAUAGCAUUCAAAUUCUGAAAUGUGUAAAUUGAACAUAAUUGGCACUGGUAAAUGUUUUGCUUUUUUA
rnacentral:lncRNA from 1 species